rnacentral:tRNA from 1 species
ACCUCUUUAGCUUAAUGGAUAGAGCAUGGAGUUUCUACCUCCACGAUGAGGGUUCAAUUCCUUCAAGAGGUGCCA